UUUAAGUGAUUUUUUUUUUCUUUCUCCCAAAGCGUUGCAAUGCACUCCAUAAAGCAUCUUUACAUCUGUUCGCUGCACGCUGUCUUUGUUACAGCAAUAAAAAUAAAGCCCUGGCUGUGAUUGUUUCUGUCUUCCCGAUGCUAUUUUGCAAAGUGCCUGGCUGUUUUCUUUCUUGUCCAUAAGUCAUCUAAACGAACAGUUCAGUUGCCAGGAAAUAUGAGGGAGCUGACCUUGAGAGACGGGGGGGGAAAGGUGAACGCAGAUUUAUGCAAGAGGCAAAAGCCCCCAGCAGUAUCCGAGGGCAAAGUCUCCUGACUUCUGUGCAGUCUUAAGAAUUUGUAAUCCCUUCUUUUAACAGUUUGGUCAAAUUUAUUUUUUUGCAAAUUAGGCCUCUGUGUGAAAGGGCUGCACAGGGCUCUGCUUCCUGCAGGAUUUCUGCAGGAGGAAACACCUGCUCUGGAGAACCUCAACCAGCAACUGCCUGUAAUUCAGAGGCCACAUUCGUGUAAGGAAGAGGUGUCGGAAAGCUACAACUUGAGAAACCGGAAGGAGCCAGAGGUGGGAUGUGGGAUCGGGGCUCUCUCGGGAGCCGGGCUGCUUCGAGGUGCUGUGGUGUCCCACCAGUGGGUCACACCAGCGUGGCUCAAGCCCGUCGCAGGGGAAACACAAGCGAUGCCCGUCCAGAAACGUGGUGCGCCGCUGCGCCUCUUCCCAGCCUGGUGGAGACGGCUUCCUGGACCUGUCGCAAUGGGGAUCAGGGCAGAGAGUCUCCGAUUACAAACACCGUGCCUCGCAGAGCUCCGCUGCAGCAGCGACAGUUUGCUGAGUUAAAUUUGGCGCACCGAAAACCGCAGACGUCUUCCCCUCUGAUUUCUCAGCCUCUUCCCCUUGCCGAUCGGGCAGGAGCCGGCGUUUCUUUGAAAGCUCAGCCUAAUUUUUUGGCUUGGUGAAACGGCACUGUACACCUGUAUGUAAAAUAAACCCC
rnacentral:lncRNA from 1 species